rnacentral:lncRNA from 1 species
GUGGUGGCGGUAAUGCACCAGAAACGUUGUUGCCAAUCGACAUUAAACAAGAAGAAGUAGCAGCGCUUGUAAAAAGCAGAACUUGGCCGUAAGGAAAUCGCGUUUCUGUUUCUGAUGUGUGUUUGGAAAGAUAUACGCUCUCGUUGAUCGUUGUAAACAAAGAACGUGUACUUGUGCUGACUGACGGGAGUAACAUGCCGGAAAGAGGAGGUCAGUGAGCCCACUGUCUCUACUAGUCCUAGUCCAGUUAUAAAAUCGGCGCGCUUGCCUCCUUCUCCCCUGGUGGAUCUUUAAUUCGGGUUACUCAGAGAGGGAUCCACAGCUUCUGCAAUUUCAGCUUGACCCUCUAAACAGCAAAUUAGCACCUCAUAUCACAGUGCAGCAAAAGCAGUUUCAUGAGCACUGGGAAGGACAAGCCCAGAGCCCAAAACAGACAGUGCAGGAGAUGACAAGGUUAGUAAUUGUAUGGUGAAAAUUAUACUUCUAGUUAUCUU